UACGUAGGGUGCAAGCGUUGUCCGGAAUUAUUGGGCGUAAAGAGCUUGUAGGCGGUUUGUCGCGUCUGCUGUGAAAUUUCGGGGCUCAACCCCGAACUUGCAGUGGGUACGGGCAGACUAGAGUGUGGUAGGGGAGACUGGAAUUCCUGGUGUAGCGGUGAAAUGCGCAGAUAUCAGGAGGAACACCGAUGGCGAAGGUAGGUCUCUGGGCCAUAACUGACGCUGAGAAGCGAAAGCAUGGGGAGCGAACAGG
rnacentral:rRNA from 1 species